rnacentral:rRNA from 1 species
AUUGAACGCUGGCGGCAGGCUUAACACAUGCAAGUCGAGCGGGCGGCGGACGGGUGAGUAAGGUCUGGGAAACUGCCUGAUGGAUGGGGAUAACUACUGGAAACGGUAGCUAAUACCGCAUACCAUCAGAUGUGCCCAGAUGGGAUUAGCUAGUGGGUGGGGUAAUGGCUCACCUAGACGACGAUCCCUAGCUGGUCUGAGAGGAUGAUCAGCCACACUGGAACUGAGACACGGUCCAGACUCCUACGGGAGGCAGCAGUGGGGAAUAUUGGACAAUGGGCGAAAGCCUGAUGCAGCCAUGCCGCGUGUGUGAAGAAGGCCUUCGGGUUGUAAAGCACUUUAAGUGAGGAGGCGUUACUAGCAGAAGAAGCACCGGCUAACUCCGUGCCAGCAGCCGCGGUAAUUC